rnacentral:rRNA from 1 species
UACGUAGGGGGCAAGCGUUGUCCGGAAUUAUUGGGCGUAAAGAGCUCGUAGGCGGUUUGUCGCGUCUGCUGUGAAAACCCGAGGCUCAACCUCGGGCCUGCAGUGGGUACGGGCAGACUAGAGUGCGGUAGGGGAGAUUGGAAUUCCUGGUGUAGCGGUGGAAUGCGCAGAUAUCAGGAGGAACACCGAUGGCGAAGGCAGGUCUCUGGGCUGACACUGACGCUCAUGCACGAAAGCGUGGGGAGCAAACAGG